rnacentral:rRNA from 1 species
GAGUUUGAUCCUGGCUCAGAUUGAACGCUGGCGGCAUGCCUAACACAUGCAAGUCGAACGGUAACAGGCCGCAAGGUGCUGACGAGUGGCGGACGGGUGAGUAAUACGUAGGUAUCUGCCCUGUAGUGGGGGAUAACCCGGGGAAACCCGGGCUAAUACCGCAUACGCUCUUUUAUCGUUGAGAUAGGAGAGGAAAGCGAGGGACCGAAAGGCCUCGCGCUAGAGGAUGAGCCUACGUCCGAUUAGCUAGUUGGUAGGGUAAAGGCCUACCAAGGCGACGAUCGGUAGCUGGUCUGAGAGGAUGGCCAGCCACACUGGGACUGAGACACGGCCCAGACUCCUACGGGAGGCAGCAGUGGGGAAUAUUGGACAAUGGGGGAAACCCUGAUCCAGCGAUGCCGCGUGGGUGAAGAAGGCCUGCGGGUUGUAAAGCCCUUUCAGUGGGGAAGAAAAACGGAGUGUGAACAGCGCUUCGUCUUGACGUUACCCACAGAAGAAGCACCGGCUAACUCCGUGCCAGCAGCCGCGGUAAUACGGAGGGUGCGAGCGUUAAUCGGAAUCACUGGGCGUAAAGAGCGCGUAGGCGGUUAGGUAAGUCGGAUGUGAAAGCCCUGGGCUUAACCUGGGAAUGGCAUUCGAGACUGUCUAUCUAGAGUCUGGUAGAGGGAAGCGGAAUUUCCGGUGUAGCGGUGAAAUGUGUAGAUAUCGGAAGGAACACCAGUGGCGAANGCGACUUCCCGGACCAAGACUGACGCUNANGCGCGAAAGCGUGGGGAUCAAACAGGAUUANAUACCCUGGUAGUCCACNCCNUAAACGAUGANACUGGCNNUNGGGGGGUUAAUCNUUGAGUGGCUCANCUANCNNAUAANUUUNCCCNUGGGAGUACGGCCCCANGUUAAACUCAAGGANUNACGGGGGCCCCCCAACCGUGAACAUNUGUUUAUNCAUGCACNNAAAACUNUCUGGCUUGAAUNNNGAACUGGAAAUUNGGUGCUNNGAACCCAAANNGNCUCUGUUUCUCNCCUUCNGNAUUGUUAUCCCACAGNCACUUUUUUUC